UACCCAUGUGACUUAUAACUGGUUUUGUGGUCUUCUCAAUUACUGCCACUGUGAACAGUGAUGAUGGAGCACAAACUGCAUGUCAUGAUCAAGUAAAAAAAUAUGAUGUUAAUGUCCUAAAGAUGUGUCUAAACAUUCAUCUUCUGCAGUUCCAGUCCAUUCAACAACACUGAUUUCAGUCAGCAGCUCAAAAAUCGAGACUAAAUCGAGCCAAAUUACAGCAGCAGCUCCUACACAAGAUCCAGCUGUCACAGCAUCAACUGAAGUCAGCAGGACUGCUGGAUUAUUAUUCAGAGUGAUUGUGAUGAUUGUUGAGAUCGCAGUGUUUGCUGCUCCUACUGUGAUUCUUCUUCAGAUCAUCUGUGCAAGAAGAGCUGG